rnacentral:rRNA from 1 species
GUGAGGAAUAUUGGUCAAUGGACGAGAGUCUGAACCAGCCAAGUCGCGUGAAGGAAGACGGUUCUAUGAAUUGUAAACUUCUUUUGUGCAGGAAUAAAGUGGGUUACGUGUAACCUUUUGUAUGUACUGUACGAAUAAGGAUCGGCUAACUCCGUGCCAGCAGCCGCGGUAAUACGGAGGAUCCGAGCGUUAUCCGGAUUUAUUGGGUUUAAAGGGUGCGUAGGUGGAUUGAUAAGUCAGCGGUGAAAGUUUGCAGCUUAACUGUAAAAUUGCCGUUGAAACUGUCGGUCUUGAGUGCAAAUGAGGUAGUCGGAAUGUGUUGUGUAGCGGUGAAAUGCUUAGAUAUAACACAGAACUCCGAUUGCGAAGGCAGCUUACUGGGAUGCAACUGACACUGAUGCACGAAAGCGUGGGUAUCAAACAGGAUUAGAAACCCCAGUAGUCC